AUUGAACGCUGGCGGCAUGCUUUACACAUGCAAGUCGAACGGCAGCGCGGGCUUCGGCCUGGCGGCGAGUGGCGAACGGGUGAGUAAUGCAUCGGAACGUGCCCAGUAGUGGGGGAUAGCCCGGCGAAUGCCGGAUUAAUACCGCAUACGACCUGAGGGUGAAAGCGGGGGAGCGAAAGGCCUCGCGCUAUUGGAGCGGCCGAUGUCGGAUUAGCUAGUUGGUGGGGUAAAGGCUUACCAAGGCGACGAUCCGUAGCUGGUCUGAGAGGACGACCAGCCACACUGGGACUGAGACACGGCCCAGACUCCUACGGGAGGCAGCAGUGGGGAAUUUUGGACAAUGGGGGCAACCCUGAUCCAGCCAUGCCGCGUGCGGGAAGAAGGCCUUCGGGUUGUAAACCGCUUUUGUUCGGGAAGAAAUCCUCUGGGCUAAUACCCCGGGGGGAUGACGGUACCGAAAGAAUAAGCACCGGCUAACUACGUG
rnacentral:rRNA from 1 species